UGUCUAAAAUGUUCUUUUUCUAUCACGCUCUUCUUAUUUUUUUUUAAAUAAUAUUUUGAAUUAUUAACUAUCAUUAUGCAUCUAAUACUUCCUUCGUCCUAAUAUAUGUGACGUUGUUUGAUUGGGAAUAAAGUUCAAUAAAAAGAAGGAAUUUUGAAAUUUAUGGUCAAAUUACAAAUUAUGGGUAAAAUGAAAAGUUUAAAGUUAAAUUAUUUUUAAUAAGAAAGUAUGACAUUUUUUUUAACAUACUAAAAAGGAAAUUAAAGUAUGACACAUAAUGUAAGGAGGGACUAAUACUUUUAUUAUGUAGUUUUCAACUAUGUGAAUUUUAUUUUCAAAAAUUUAAAUUCUUUAUAUCCGAUCACAUAUGAAUAUAUCUGAUAAGUCGCACUAUAUAUGCAUCUUCCUCUGGAGGACUUCGAAAAUCCGAGUACUCUGACACAUAAAUUGAUUCGGAGUACAUCUACUGUUGUUCUUGGCAUGUAAGCACAGUUUCCACGUUUAACACCAAAAUCAAAUUUACUUGUUAUCGUCUUAUUUGCUAUGCCUAGUCUAUUUUUGUAUUGUCUUUUUUGAACUGGCUUGUUAUGUGUUACUCGAGUCUAGGGCUUUAGAAACAAUCUUUCUAUUUCGAUGAGGUUGGAAUAAGGUCUACAUACCCUCUAUCAUUUUCGGACCCCAGCUGUGAAAUAAACAGGGUGUUAGUUGUUGUCGUACGUGGGGACGAUGUGAAAGGAAAACGAAAAGUUGCAAAAGUUGAAACAUAGGUAAUAAAGGCCCAUACUAUUUGAAGCAUGUUAAAUGUUGUAUAUACAUAUUAGGUAAGACCUGAAAAUCGAUUGAGGGUCUCUUUGUCUUUUUGUUUACUGCUGAGUUUCUCCCACUUGUGCCAAUUAAAUUAUACUCCCUUCGUUUCAAUUUAUAUAAACCUAUUUGACUGGGUACGACAUUUAAGAAAGAGAAAAGACUUUUGAAACUUGUGGUUCAAAAUAAGCCUUGAAAAUUUGUGUGGCGGUAAAUCAUUCAUAAAGUGAAUUUGUUUCCAAAUUAGGAAAGAAAUCAUUCAUUUUGACUCGGACAAAAAAGAAAAUAGGUUCAAACAAAUUGAAACAGAGAGAGUAUUGCACAUUGUUGCCCUUAUAUAUUAGGUAAGACCUGAAAAAUCGAUUGAGGGUCUUGGUCUUUGUCUUUUUGUUUACUGCUGAUCCCACUUGUGCCAAUUAAAUUGCACAUCACUUCUGUUGCCAUUAUAUAUUCUUCUAGUCAUAGAAAUUGGAAAAAGAACACAAGGGUGUAUAUAUAUAUAUAUGUGGCCCAUGAAAUUGGUAGUAAGUAAAGAGAUACAGUUUCAUUCACUUGCUCAAAAGCUUUUAAAAGAUCCCAAUAUUCUAAAAUUCACAAAAGUAAAAUCCAUGAUCUUCCUUAUGAAUCAUACAACAGCCUCUACUACUGAUCAAUAUUCUUGCGAUGGGCGUACUGCUCUUCAGGAUUCUUGCUUUCUCAAAUCUUGUUUCUUCUGCAAGAAGCCUCUUCGCCUUGACAAGGAAGUGUACAUGUACGGGGGUGAGCUGGGCUUCUGCAGUGUGGAUUGUAGGAAUAAGCAGAUAUACUUGGAUGAAAUGAAAAAUAUUGAGACUUAUACUAAGACAAUUCUUGCAUCUAUACACCAACGUCAACAGGCUGGCCAGUGUAGUGAAAAUACAGUUCUAUCGGAGGAUUGCCGGCAGCAUGGCAAGCCAUUGGCGUGUACUAAGAAUCGAGUUACAUUCACAAUCUCAUCGUCGAUAAAUCAUCAAUAACAUAUAGGAGUAAUACUAUUUAAUUUAGAUAAUAUAUAGUCGCGGUUUCAAAAUUUAAGGUUAUGAAUUUUGUAUCAUAAAUGUUUGAGUAAAUUAUUUAUAAAUAUUAAGUGAAUGUCAGAACAAAUAUAAAUUUGAAUCAAGCCUAUUGAAGUA